rnacentral:lncRNA from 1 species
GGAUGCAAGAGAGAAAAAGGAGAGGACGAAGACAACGACGUUAUGAGAAACCACAAUGCAAUGCCGCAAGAGAUAAAAAGUAGAGGUGCGCAAGCGAGUAAAAGAAGAGGAGAAGCAAAGAAAAAGGAGAAGAGAUGAAGACACGAUCAGAAACUGAAUGGCGAUAAGAGUCUGCGGUCUAUUUAAAAUGAAAUGGGGCGUCAGUUGCUCCAGAAACCGACGUCUAUAGGCGUCGAUGUUUCAGGGGAUUCGAUGUCUAUUCUACGUCAAAGAAGCUGAAAAGAUUGACGUUUGAUUUUUUGUCAGGGUAGUUCACGUCGGUGCCCCUCCCAAUCGACGUCUAAAUUGAAGAAUUUUUGUCUUCCCACCUUCUAGACAGGCCUUAGACGUCGCCGUUUGACUAUCUGACGUCUAAGCGCCUGGGAAUUAGGUGAACAACAUUAAUUGUAGCCCAGUCGACGUCGGGUUUUCAGGGGAUCCGACGUCUAUGCGACG